rnacentral:tRNA from 2 species
GCUCCGGUGGUGGAAUUGGUAGACACACACGAUUCAGGGUCGUGCGCCAAAAGCAUGGGAGUUCGAGUCUCCCCCGGAGCACCA